AAAGUACGUUUGCGAGUGCGCGCGCUGCCCUUCUGCCUCGUUCGUCUUUCCGUACCACCUGUCGUUUCUACUGUCUCCUACCUUGGAUGAGCGCAAACUGCUUGCCCGAAUCCUUCGUUCAGACGAGUGCAUCGGACUGAGAAAGAGAAGCGUUCAGAGAGGGGGAACAUGCUCUUCGUUCUUUUCGAACGAAAAGAUGGAGAAAGGGUGAACCUGGAGAGUCGAGAUGUUGUUAGCCGGUACGGUUUGCCGACACCAGCGGGGGACAGGCGGAUGUCGGAAUACAUGGGAUAUACAUAAAUAUGUGUAUAUAUAUAUAUAUAUAUGUAUAUACAUAUACAUAUAUGUAUAUAUACAUACACACACAAUUCACACGUGCGCACAUGUGUACACGAAGAGUGGAAAAGAGUGGAAAGUGAGGGGAAGGAGAAGAAAGAGACGAUGAAAGGAGAGGAAAGGAAGAUGGGAUAGUGUGAGGUCGAAGGACCAGCGUAGAACUGACCGAAGCGAAUAGGAGAUAAAAACGGAGAAUGCAAGGGGAAACUGUAUGAAUAGAGUAGUAUUCCGGAGUAUGUGUAUUCCGUUUAAUAACGUCGAUCGUGUUGAUAUGUCCAUCGAAGAAUUUUCAUCUGUUCGCUUUUAUUCGAGAUUAAGGACAUUAUUACGAUAUGCAUACGUAAACUAGGCCAAGGGCUCGUGUGCGUUCCAAUGAACUUAGAAUUCUUCUCGUUUAUACUUGGUCCUAUCGCGCGACUCCUGACAACGACGAUCAUCGAAGAAACAAGAGAGGAGAGCGCGAUAUCUCGAGGAGAAAUCAAAAAUCCAAGAUAAUCGAAUUGAUUCUUCGAGAGUGUAAGAAUACAAUAUUUGAUUAGAGGCCGUAGGACCUCGAUGACCAACGAUUAACGGUACAUCGACCGAAUAAAUCAGCUUCUUGACGGUACAUUCUCUAAACGUCGCGCGUUAUUGCGUCUUGUUGCCAGAAAUUUCGUGUAACACGUCGUCCGUGAAACGUUAUCGUUUCGUUCGACGUUCGACAAGAGAUUCGGAAAUAAAUCUUGACUGUCGUUGGUACGAUGUACGAAAAAGUCCAAGCACAAUGGAAAGAGAGACGUCGAAUGAAGACAUUGUUAUUUCUCAUUCUCGAAUACACUUCCCUUUCCACUUUAUCUUUUGGCGAUUCGAGAAAUAUUUGGGCAACAUGUUCCGUCCAGGAAUUGCGCGUAGCAUCGUGCGCAAGAAAAACGCAAGAAUACUCCGUUAGGAAGUUCUUCGAGACCAAUCGCUUAUACGAGGUCAUUUUAAGUAACGUUAUCUUUCGGCAUCGCCAGCCGCUUAUAAGGCGCAAGAUUUAAUACUUGUUUAGUCGUUGGUCGCUUAAAAAAUAAAAAAAUUAAAAUAAAUAAAAAAUAAAAAUUCCUA